UACGGGGGGGGCAAGCGUUGUUCGGAAUUACUGGGCGUAAAGGGUUCGUAGGUGGCCAACUAAGUCAUACGUGAAAUCCCUCAGCUUAACUGGGGAACUGCGUCUGAUACUGGUUGGCUUGAGUGCAGGAGAGGAACGCGGAAUUCCAGGUGUAGCGGUGAAAUGCGUAGAGAUGUGGAGGAACACCAAUGGCGAAGGCAGCCUUCUGGGCCAACACUGACGCUCAUGCACGAAAGCGUGGGGAGCAAACAGG
rnacentral:rRNA from 1 species